UAGUCAUAUGCUUGUCUCAAAGAUUAAGCCAUGCAUGUCUAAGUUCAAACCUUUAUAUGGUAAAACCGCGAAUGGCUCAUUAAAUCAGAUAUGGUUCCUUGGAUCAUAAUAAUACUACAGGGAUAACUGUAGUAAUUCUAGAGCUAAUACGUGCCUCGAGUCUCUGAACCGCAAGGUGAAGGGUGCAUUUAUUAGAUCACAAACCAAUCGGUCUCGGCCGGUUAUUGUGAUGACUCUGGAUAACUUUGUAUGAUCGCAGCUGGCUUUAUUGUCGGCGACGGAUCCAUCAAAUGUCUGCCCUAUCAACUUUCGAUGGUAGGUGAUAUGCCUACCAUGGUUAUGACGGGUAACGGGGAAUCAGGGUUCGAUUCCGGAGAGGGAGCCUGAGAAACGGCUACCACAUCCAAGGAAGGCAGCAGGCGCGUAAAUUACCCACUCUCAGAGAGAGGAGGUAGUGACGAUAAAUAUCGAUGCGGAUCUCAAAUGAGGCUCUGCAAUCGAAAUGAGUACAAUUUAAAUCCUAUAACGAGGAUCUAUUGGAGGGCAAGUCUGGUGCCAGCAGCCGCGGUAACUCCAGCUCCAAUGGCAUAUAUUAAAGUUGCUGCAGUUAAAAAGCUCGUAGUUGGAUCUGGGCUGUGAUGUGAUUGCUGGUGGCGGUCUGUUCUACUGGAAGGUGAAAGCCGAAGGUGGUCGGGCGCACUGGUAUAAUCGCGUCCAGUCUAAUAGCUGUGUCUGUGUGGCUUCGGCCAUGUGGAUGUUGUCGGGUGUCUGGUGUCGAUCGCCUCACGGUGAUUGAUCCGGCUCGAUGGCAUGUUUCUUGUAUGCCCUUUACUGGGUGUCUGGAACGGACAGCACGUUUACUUUGAACAAAUUAGAGUGCUCAAAGCAGGCCUUUGUUGCCUGAAUAGUCUUGCAUGGAAUAAUGGAAUAGGACUUCGGCCCUAAUUUGUUGGUUUGAUAGUACCUGAAGUAAUGAUAAAGAGAGACAGACGGGGGCAUUUGUAUGGCGGCGCUAGAGGUGAAAUUCGUGGACCGUCGCCAGACAACCUAAAGCGAAAGCAUCUGCCAAGUAUGUUUUCAUUUACCAGGAGCGAAAGUCAGAGGUUCGAAGACGAUCAGAUACCGUCCUAGUUCUGACCAUAAACUAUGCCAACUGACGAUCCAGAGUGCCUCCAAUUUGGGGAGUCUCUGGGCAGUCCCCGGGAAACCUGUAAGUCUAUGGGUUCCGGGGAAAGUAUGGUUGCAAAGCUGAAACUUAAAGGAAUUGACGGAAGGGCACCACCAGGAGUGGAGCUUGCGGCUUAAUUUGACUCAACACGGGAAAACUUACCCGGGCCGGACACUGUGAGGAUUGACAGAUUUAUAGCUCUUUCUUGAUUCGGUGGCUAGUGGUGCAUGGCCGUUCUUAGUUCGUGGUAUGAGUUGUCUGGUUAAUUCCGAUAACGAACGAGACUCUAACCUGCUAAAUAGUAUGCUUGUACUUUUGUGCGAUCAUCGCUCGAGUGGCUUUUGUCGCUAGGGUGGUGCCGUGCAAGCAGGUAAGACUUCUUAGAGGAACUGGUGUAUAAUUAAAACCACACGAGAAGGAGCAAUAACAGGUCUGUAAUGCCCUAAGAUGUUCGGGGCCGCACGCGUGCUACAAUGACGGUUUUAAAGAGAAUGACAUUCUGGCUCGAAAGAGUUGGACAAACUUGUCAAUCACCGUCAUGACUGGGAUUGGGGUUUGUAACUAUCCCCCAUGAACGAGGAAUUCCUAGUAAGCACAAGUCAUAAGCUUGUGCUGAUUACGUCCCUGCCCUUUGUACACACCGCCCGUCGCUGCUACCGACUGAGUGGUUUAGCGAGGUCGUUGGAUUGGUGCCUAAGUAGCGUCAGUUACUGGGUGUCGAGAAGCCGACCGAACUGCACCUCUUGUA
rnacentral:rRNA from 1 species